rnacentral:tRNA from 1 species
UGUAAAGAUAGUUUAAAUAAAAAAUAGUGCUUUUGUAAUGCACAGAUAAUUUUUAAAAUUUUUUUACAU